rnacentral:lncRNA from 1 species
CUUUGAGCUGCUGGGUGGACGAGGGACGCGUUGUAUGAGGCACUCAGCACAGUGCCUGGUCCUCUUCAAAGUCAAGGCUCUAGGAACCAGGAGGGGUGGGCGCCAGGGGCUGCAGCCUGGGCUUCCUCCUGUUACGUCCUCCCACAUUCUAGGCUUCCUGUUACGACUGUUGCUUAGAACAGAACCGACAGGCUAAGGGGGAGCCCUUGUGUCUACCUCCUGCCUGUGGUCUUGUCAGCUGGGAAUCAUGUUCUCCACUCCACAGAUGAGAAAACCGGGACAUGGAAACUAGGUUCUUCUCUCCCAUGUGAUUUAGUUGAAGUGGACAUCUGCAUGUGUUAUAAAGUAGGAUUCAGAAAC